AAUGAUCAAAACAUGGGACUCUGUGAGGGCAUCACUGGGCAUGGUCGGACCAACUAUAGGGAAUAUCCCACUCACGAGCAUCUCAGUGGGCAUACCGACGUUUGACCACACCCCCUGGGUGAGAGGGGGAUGUACCCACCUUAGCCAGAUAUGCGUGGACAACGAGUUACUGCCAUUCCCAGCACUGCAAACCAAGUUCUCCUUGCAAUCCAGACACAUAUUCCCUUACCUCCAACUGAAAUCAUUUGUGGCCUCACACUGCAAGGGUCCAUGUGCCGAACCACC